ACGCUGGCGGCGUGCCUAAUACAUGCAAGUCGAACGAACUCUGGUAUUGAUUGGUGCUUGCAUCAUGAUUUACAUUUGAGUGAGUGGCGAACUGGUGAGUAACACGUGGGAAACCUGCCCAGAAGCGGGGGAUAACACCUGGAAACAGAUGCUAAUACCGCAUAACAACUUGGACCGCAUGGUCCGAGCUUGAAAGAUGGCUUCGGCUAUCACUUUUGGAUGGUCCCGCGGCGUAUUAGCUAGAUGGUGGGGUAACGGCUCACCAUGGCAAUGAUACGUAGCCGACCUGAGAGGGUAAUCGGCCACAUUGGGACUGAGACACGGCCCAAACUCCUACGGGAGGCAGCAGUAGGGAAUCUUCCACAAUGGACGAAAGUCUGAUGGAGCAACGCCGCGUGAGUGAAGAAGGGUUUCGGCUCGUAAAACUCUGUUGUUAAAGAAGAACAUAUCUGAGAGUAACUGUUCAGGUAUUGACGGUAUUUAACCAGAAAGCCACGGCUAACUACGUGCCAGCAGCCGCGGUAAUACGUAGGUGGCAAGCGUUGUCCGGAUUUAUUGGGCGUAAAGCGAGCGCAGGCGGUUUUUUAAGUCUGAUGUGAAAGCCUUCGGCUCAACCGAAGAAGUGCAUCGGAAACUGGGAAACUUGAGUGCAGAAGAGGACAGUGGAACUCCAUGUGUAGCGGUGAAAUGCGUAGAUAUAUGGAAGAACACCAGUGGCGAAGGCGGCUGUCUGGUCUGUAACUGACGCUGAGGCUCGAAAGUAUGGGUAGCAAACAGGAUUAGAUACCCUGGUAGUCCAUACCGUAAACGAUGAAUGCUAAGUGUUGGAGGGUUUCCGCCCUUCAGUGCUGCAGCUAACGCAUUAAGCAUUCCGCCUGGGGAGUACGGCCGCAAGGCUGAAACUCAAAGGAAUUGACGGGGGCCCGCACAAGCGGUGGAGCAUGUGGUUUAAUUCGAAGCUACGCGAAGAACCUUACCAGGUCUUUGACAUACUAUGCAAAUCUAAGAGAUUAGACGUUCCCUUCGGGGACAUGGAUACAGGUGGUGCAUGGUUGUCGUCAGCUCGUGUCGUGAGAUGUUGGGUUAAGUCCCGCAACGAGCGCAACCCUUAUUAUCAGUUGCCAGCAUUAAGUUGGGCACUCUGGUGAGACUGCCGGUGACAAACCGGAGGAAGGUGGGGAUGACGUCAAAUCAUCAUGCCCCUUAUGACCUGGGCUACACACGUGCUACAAUGGAUGGUACAACGAGUUGCGAACUCGCGAGAGUAAGCUAAUCUCUUAAAGCCAUUCUCAGUUCGGAUUGUAGGCUGCAACUCGCCUACAUGAAGUCGGAAUCGCUAGUAAUCGCGGAUCAGCAUGCCGCGGUGAAUACGUUCCCGGGCCUUGUACACACCGCCCGUCACACCAUGAGAGUUUGUAACACCCAAAGUCGGUGGGGUAACCUUUUAGGAACCAGCCGCCUAAGGUGGGACAGAUGAUUA
rnacentral:rRNA from 2 species